GACGAACGCUGGCGGCGUGCUUAACACAUGCAAGUCGAACGGAAAGGCCCUGCUUUUGUGGGGUGCUCGAGUGGCGAACGGGUGAGUAACACGUGAGUAACCUGCCCUUGACUUUGGGAUAACUUCAGGAAACUGGGGCUAAUACCGGAUAGGAGCUCCUGCUGCAUGGUGGGGGUUGGAAAGUUUCGGCGGUUGGGGAUGGACUCGCGGCUUAUCAGCUUGUUGGUGGGGUAGUGGCUUACCAAGGCUUUGACGGGUAGCCGGCCUGAGAGGGUGACCGGCGACAAUGGGACUGAGAUAGGGCCCAGUCUGCUACGGGAGGCAGCAGUGGGAAAUAUUGCGCAAUGGGCGGAAGCCUAAUGCAGCAACGCCGCGUGCGGGAUGACGGCCUUCGGGUUGUAAACCGCUUUGGCCUGUGACGAAGCGUGAGUGACGGUAAUGGGUAAAGAAGCACCGGCUAACUACGUG
rnacentral:rRNA from 1 species